GACGAACGCUGGCGGCGUGCCUAAUACAUGCAAGUAGAACGCGUUGCGAACGGGUGAGUAACGCGUGGUAACCUGCCUCGUAGCGGGGGAUAACUAUUUGAAACGGUAGCUAAUACCCCUUAGCUCUUGAUGGACCUGCUUUGUAUUAGCUAGUUGGUGAGGUAAAGGCUCACCAAGGCGACGAGACAUAGCCGACCUGAGAGGUUGAUCGGCCACACUGGAACUGAGACACGGUCCAGACUCCUACGGGAGGCAGCAGUGGGGAAGAUUGCACAAUGGGCGCAAGCCUGAGGCAGCCAUGCCGCGUGUAGGAAGAAGGCCUUCGGGUUGUAAAGUACUUUCAGCGGGGAGGCGUUACCCGCAGAAGAAGCACCGGCUAACUCCGUGCCAGCAGCCGCGGUAAUUC
rnacentral:rRNA from 1 species